UGUUGACUCAUCUUUAAAAUUGCCUGUGAAUGUUUCCACUUCUCAACAAUGCAUUCUGUUAUUAGUCAAUUUUUUAUAUGAAUUUAAAACCACUGAAAGCUUUCUUUUCUCUUGGUCCAUCUCAUGGUUCAUCUCUCUGCUAACUGUAAAGAAGGGAACAAAGAAGGCUUGUGGGGAGCCAUUCCAAACACACACACACACACACACACACACCUUUAAAUCCUGAUGCACCUUGAGGAUCCGAAAGAUCAUUGUAGUCUGGUGCAAUAGUGGCAUGACUGGUGACUCGGUCUUUUCCCUCAUUCAGAUAAUAACGUGUGGCACUGGGAGUGGCUCUAGGAAUAGGGUGCACCCAGAGGGGUUGAGCUACACUCACCUGUUCCCUUGUAAUCCUACUUCUUGCCUCAUUUGAAUGGCUUCUUCCCAUUAAAAGGGUUUAGCACCUGCUCCUCUCUCUUUCCAUGGACCUCUAAGGUCAGAGGAGCCAUGACAGGACCCAAAGAAAAAGGUAUUUCUGUCUCUGAUUAUUUUUGUGCAGCUCAGUUCACUGGACUGGGUGUUUUAGUCAUGGAAUACAACAGAGACUUACCCAUACAAUGCAGAGGCAAGAAACAAGUGGCUGCCCCUCCUAGCACCAUGUUUAUUUAUCUCCCAAGUUACAUAGCUUGUUGUUACCAUGACUACAUUAUGAUUUAGUCUUCCUUUAAUCCCAAGUGCUAACUAACUGACAUAAGGUCCAGGUUCAUAUAAACACAGAACCCCUUUUCUCUAAGGACAUCACCAUAGAAAUUAGAUAGUGAGCCUGUAUAGUUAUCUUAAUAGCUUCAAAGAGAAAUUGCUGGACAUUCCAAGCACAGGAAACAGAGCGCCAGUAACCGCUGCCCCCCCAGCCCCCAGGAGUUUGUUCACCAGAAGAACGCUUCCCUGUACAUUUCCAUGGUCAGAAUACCUACAGGUAACUCUAUACUAGCUGUGUCUAAUAGUAUUAUUUAAAGUUCUUUAUUUAUACUCAGGUGUCACUUAAACAUUCUGGUAGUUUAUAUUUAGGCUGCCUCACCAUUGCACAUACACCACAGUGUAUCCACACAGUCCUAGAACGAAUAGCUAUUACAUACCUAAGCUGUAUCAUGUCAGUGCUUCCUAGGGUCCAGCCCCACACAGCAUUUCACUUAACAAGCUACCAAAGUUGAUCAUGCAUUACAUUUUUUUGCACCACCAUCACUACAAACACCGCAAUAAUCCCUUUUCUACUGAUAACCAUUUUUAUGUAGCCCAUUAUUAUCCAAAAAUGUCUUUGACCAAAAUAUUGUUAUGUGGCACAUGACUAUAUAUUAUAUAAGCCAAACAGUCUGCUAUCUAGAACAUAUUGACAGGUGUUACAUAUUUCUUAUUCUUAUUGGGCUAGGACAAGUACCUUCUGUUGAUGACUAGAAAUUUGAUUUGUGAAAUGUCAGAAAAGGGUUUAACACUUUUUCCAUUGUAUUUGAUAUUUAAUUGGAGGAUAUUAUAAAUUCUUUAUUCAUGAUUAUUCUUUUAAUUAGUAGGUUACAUUUCAUCUGCAGUAAAGCACCAAUAAAUUCCAAUUGGUUUUCUUGGUGAGCUCAAUCCCCAGUUACCAUGUUAUGACCACCUCAAUGAAAUGUUGUCUACUAAGGAAGUUCUUAGACUCUGUUUUCAGAGGGUUCUUUUUCUUUUUUUAAUGGGUUGGCGAUCAUUGAUCCUG
rnacentral:lncRNA from 1 species